AUUUGGUACACUUGAACUUCAAGGUAAAGUAAGUGACCUUCCAGAAGCUCAGAAGAAAAAGAGUAGAUUAAGUGUAUUUACCCACAUGCAUGAAUUUCGGGUUUAAAUUGGUGACAAGUGGGUGAACAUGUGUCAAGUGCUCCCAUCCCUCCCUUUGGCUAUAAAUAGAACCCUUAGGAUGUGUUUUUGAAGUUUAGAAACCCCUGAGCUUUCUCUCUCAGUCGAUCUUAUGGUUUGUUCUAGAGAGAGAAAAUGGCUUAAAACCGAUAAAUUUUUGAGUAUGUGAGGUGAGUGUGGAAGGCUUUUGCGUGGCUUGAUCCUUGCUCUAGGAUCGGUUGUGGAGUGCUAGGAGUGGUGGUAAGACCUUAGUUGAUCGUUUGUAACCUUAGGGGAUUGGGCGUUUGCAGGGUGCGGAGGACGAGGCCAGGCGUAGAUUUCCGUUGUUGUUUGCAAGGCGCAAGAUGUUGAUGUUUUCACUCGUUUUGUUUUUCAUGGGUACCCGUUGACUCGUUUGUUUUUAUUUUCUGCUGCGUUUAUCUUUAAGGACUUUAGUCGAGUUCCC